AGGUGGUUAACAUUCUAGGCUUGUGCUUUUAGAGGGCAUGAUAAAUCUCCAGGAUCCAUUAAUCGGGGUAAUUUCCUAGAAGUGGUAAAACUUUUGGCUUCUUAUAACAAGGAGGUGAAAGAUGUUGUCUUGGAAAAUGCUCCUGGAAACGCAAAGUACACAUCUCAUCAGGUUCAAGAGGAAAUUCUUGGUAUACUUUCUCGAAAGGUGCAAAGAACAAUUAGAGAAGAAAUUGGUGAUAGCAAAUUUUUUAUAAUGGUUGACGAAGCUCGCGACGAAUCCAAGAAAGAGCAAAUGGCAUUGGUCCUUCGAUUUCCCGACACCGAAGGGGUUCAUACAGGAGCGUUUUGUUCAUGUCAUUCAUGUGAAUGA
rnacentral:rRNA from 1 species